GGGAGCUCUUUGGUUUUUCCUGGGAGUUAAAGUAAAGAUUUACCUCCUCUUAAUUUUUCCAGUGGGUGGUAAACAAACUUCUCUAAGCCUCUUCUGGUAAGGGCUUCCGAGAUAGUUUUUACAUGCAGGAAGAGAGAACAAGUGCAGGCAACGUCCAAGGUCCUCUUGUUUUGCAGAUCACUGCACAACAGACCCUCAGGUAGAACAAGUUUAGAUAGUGACUCUUAACCAAAGUACAAGUUAGCAUCACCUGGAAGACUUUACUAACCAUGGUUGGCUGAGAGUCUGUGGGAGCAGAAGAGGAAACUGAGGCUUUAGAGAACUGUAGCACAUUGGCAAGGACAUCCAGCUCAUAAACAAUCCAUCAGAAAAGUGAGGUCACUGAGCAACCCACCACCCAAAACCUGGACAGACAGAGAAAUACAGAAGCAUGGCUUACAGAGAGCAGAAGCAGCUGCUGGAGCCACCAUCUGGUAGAAACACUUCAGGGAUGAGAAAACAGUGACCUGGAGACAGUUAUUUCACCAACAGAAGCUGGAUCUCUAAUAAAAAGACUAUGGGCUGCUGCAACUCUAGGAAUGGAAGCUUCACAUCUACCAUCUACUGCUUGCUGCAUACCCCACUGCAUCGGUCACUGAGGCGCCCAAUACCUGAGGAAUUGAAAUCAACAUUAUGUUAAGAUGCGGGAGCUCUCAGAGAACAUGCAGCCACUCUUAGGAAGUACAAGAGGACUGGAGGGGGAGUCCUAUAGACUGAAUGCUUCCAUCCCCCCCGCCGGAAUCAUAUGUUGAAAUUCUAAUCCUCAACGUCAUGGUAUUAAGAGGUGGGGCUUUUGGGAGGUGGUGAGGUCCUGAGGGUAGUGCCCUCCUCCAUGAAAUUAGUACCUUUAUGAAAAGAGACAGGAGAAAGCUUGCUUCUUUUGUCUCUUCUCUCCCAAGUAAAGACACACCAGAGGAGAGUCAUCUGCCAACCCGGAAGAGGGCCCUCACCAGAACCUGACCAUGCUGGCACCCUGAUCUCAGGCUGCCCAGGCUACAGAACUGUGAGAAAGAAUUCUGUUGUAUAAACCACCCAGGCUAUGGUAUUGGCAAUAGCAGCAUGAGCAGCAUAAAAUAGGGCAGGUUCAAGGCCUUUACCUAAGAACCUGAUGCUCAAAAGAUACAAAAAGUGUCUAUAUUCCCAUCAACAAUCCAUUCUCCUGAUGAACUUGCCAGUAUCCUGAGGUUUGCAGCCAGGGAAGUCAGCCCAUGUUUGCUAAAUAAAUGAAUGAGAAGUGGAAGUGGAGAUGAUGGAGCAGGUACAUGGCUGAAAACCUGUUUAUGUCAGAGCCCAUUUCCUACCUUUUUACCUACCUAGAAGGCAGCCAGCACUUCUCAGUUCCAUCAUACAGAGAACAUUUUGCUGAGAUGACACCAACUUCCAGUUCUUCACAAAGAUGCAGCCCUCAGCCUUCAGCAUGAGAACAGGGACAUCAGCCUGCUUUGCCCAUGGAACUGUCUCCAGAGCCUACAACAAUGCUCAGCCUAUGAGAGGUGUCUCCUGUAUCCUUGUUAAGUGAAUGAGCAAUUGUGGGAAGGGAUAAUUACUAGCUCCCUUCAGUUAUGCAAAGAACAAGGGAGAUGCCUGCCACCUUUUGCACCCUGAAUCACAGGGUGGUAAGGUGUACAGGCCUGGCACCUGGUAGAAGGCAUGGGAGUGCACAUUAGCUAUGCAGCCCUGGGAAAGGCUGCAUGCCGGUAUACUUUAUGCAAGUGAGCAAACAACAUUGACAACUAUUAAUAAUUUACAAAAUGCUAAAGAAAAUAACCCAGUUUUUUAGUUUGCGAGAGGAAUUACUGCCGGUGGCUAUUAUUAGAUGCAAUUUUUUACCCCAGGAGACGUAUGGUCAUAUCUGGAUUUUUUUUUUUUUUUUUUUAGUUGUCACAUCUGGGAGGAUCAUGGGAGAGCUGCUUCUGAUAUCUGGAGAGCAGAGGCUAGGAGUGCUGCUCAACAUUCCACAACGCACUGGGCAGCCCCCUGUAUAGCAUGACCUGGCCCCAAAUAUCAAUAGAGCCGAAGCUGAGAACCCAAUCCUCCAAAAUACAUACAGUGAAUAUUUUCAAAUUGAUUAAGUAUGUUCAUUCAUUUAUGUGAAACUUUAUAUGUGAUAUGCUAAGACUUCAUCUAAUACAAAAUGUAAAUGAAUCAUAAAAACAUUUUUUAACCUGCCCUCCUUCAACAAAAGGUUUAGAGCAACAUUGCUUAAACUAGAAUGUGUUCAUUUCUCAUUAAAAAAAAUUAUUCCUCUCCUUCAAUGAAGGUGGUAGGUAUUCAUAUUUACAUAAUAUAUAAGUCGGUGAAAUAUCAGAUACAUUAGAAAAUUUAAAAACAAAUAAUUGGAAAAAUAGUUCCUUGUAGACACCUUUAUUAUAUAUGUGUUCAUUUAUUCAUACCAUGCUUUUAAUAGCAAAGUCUUUAUUCAUGUCUGGAGUUUGAUUUUUAAAUCUUCUAGGUCAUUAAAUGAAUGUCUUUAAUAAUCUUAAUAUCAUCAUCAGUAAAUUUAGCAAAGAAAUGCCACAAGAGCCAUCAAUUUGAUCAUAUUUGAGCUCUGGGACAAAUUAUGUUGAAGAACUUUUCAGCUAAAAAAAAAGGGAAGUUUUUAUAAAAGUGGAGAAAGAAUAGGAAGAAAAGUGAAAAGUACUUUGCAGUUUGUAUCGGAUUUUUUUUUUUUUUUUUGAGGUGGAGUCUUGCUCUGUUGACUGGGCUGGAGUGCAGUGGUGCGAUCUCAGCUCACUGCAACCUCUGCCUCCGGGGUUCAAGUGAUUCUCCUGCCUCAGCCUCCCGAGUUGCAGGGACUGCAGGUGCGUACCACCACGCCCAGCUAAUUUUUGUAUUUUCAGUAGAGACGGGGUUUCACCAUGUUGGCCAGGAUGGUCUCAGUCUCUUGACCUCGUGAUCUGCCCUCCUUGGCCUCCCAAAGUGCUGGGAUUACAGAUGUGAGCCACCGCGCCCAGCCUGGGGAUUUGUAUAAUGUGGCAGUAUGAUAAAAUUACUGUCUCUCCACAACCGAAACCUCAGAUGUCUAUGUUCAAACCUAAACUAGUCUUAACAUCUUGAAAGUCUGCAGUCACUUAAUCUUUAUCUCUAAAUCUACUGUUUAUUUUCUCUAUUUACCUUUUCUGCUGUUUUUUUUGAUAAAUUAACAUUUCUUGAAAUAAAAAACACACUGAUAACAGACUCAUGUUCAAUUUACCUUAAUUAUUCACAGAGAAGACUUUCCAUUUCAACAAGCCUCAUUUAUAUGCAACUGGCAAUUUCUCUAAACAGAAGAAAAGGGGAGAUUUUGCCAAUCAAUUGGCUUCACCAUCCCCCAGCCCCAAAGUGUGUUUAAGAACAUUUGCCUGUGCAUGCAUGUGUUUUCCUUUGCAUCCCACAAGAGGAAGGUAGGCAUAUUGCAUACAACUGCAGCUUUCUCACCUGAGAAACAUUCUUGGGUUUAAUGUCGGUAUGAACCAUUAGGAUUUAGCAUAGCAUCAAUGACAUGCUAACAUAUAUUCGCUCAGUAGCCAUGGGAAGAUCACUUUCUCGUAUAAUUUAUGCAAUUAAACUUUCCCAUUUUCCUGGAUGUAUGCAUGGAAACCAUCCACUGAGGCUGCUGUCCAUUGAGUUGGAGCUUUUGCAUGGCAGAACUGGAGAGUCCAAUUGAAAACACAGAAGUGGAGCUGCUCCAGAGAGGGUGCGGCACGAAGACUCUGUGCAGGCUAUUUCAGAGCGAAGCGAGUGGGCUCAAAUGUGCUGAAUGCUCACUUGCUAACACAGACAGCACCAAGAUAAACACCUACAAAAUAACAGCAAGACACAGACCUGUAGGAACUCCGAGCUGGGCCAGCCUCAGGAGAGGUUUCUCCCAAGGACACUGUUCUUACGCAUAGAUGGAGAAUCACCUGGAAAGAACAAGACUGUGAGCCAGACCCCAGCCUGCAGAGUAUUGGUCCCUCAAACUUGCGUUCUGCCCUUUAAACGGCAUCACAAUGGGUUAACAAUUGUGAAGCUUGAAAAUAAUUGUUUUCCCCUAAGAAUGGGCCUGGGCUUACAGCACAUUUGUGAGACAGAACAGGGGGUGGAGAGGCCAGGGAUCUAGAUUCCCCCAUUUAUUGUCUCAUGUUACACUAAAAAAAUUGGGGGUUGUUACCCGGUUCUACAGAUGAGGAAGCAGAGACUGGAGGGUUUGAUAAACCCCUGGAGGUCAUGCAAAUACCCUGUAGUAAAGCUUAGAUUUUAACCAGAUCUUUUUGUGUUCCAGAAGCUGCAUCUCUGAGUCAUGAGACAUGCAGACCAUGGCAGAUGGUCCCGUGACAGCAUUUAUUACCUUAAACGGGAAGUCUCAACCCACCCUCCUCCCCCACAUCCACUCCCCACUUGAAGAUAGAUACAUAUGAUAGGACAAGGCUGUGAUUUAAACUUAGCUCAGGAUGGUGCUGUGCCUGAGCAUAUGGAAAAGCUUUUAAAUUCAGUUUCAGAUUUAUAUCUGCUGACAAGGGGUAAAAUGAAUUCUUGGUCUUUGUUCGAAUGGAAAAAAGUCUCUACAUUAUUAGGCGCCAUAAUAUUUUAUUCAAAUCUUCUUAGAAAUUUUUGGAUAUUGCAUCUGGGGGUAAGUGUGCCUCUUUGAUGUCAUUCAGAAGUGUGUGUAUCUUGGUUACUGUGUACAAAAUGCACUGGUCCAGUUUUUUCAAAGUGCCUUGACGCUAUACAUUAAAUUGCAAUCAAGAGAAUUGAAUAUGGAAAGUAGAGUUUUUUUUUUUUUGCAAUCCUUCCUUCAACUCCUAAAGUCAGCUCUUUAGAGAAAAUUAGCACUGAUAAUAGGACAAGAUGAUAAAGAAUACAUCCGUGUUACAGCUUCUAGUGCCACUCCCCCAAUCUCACAUUAAUGCUACACUGAUUUCAAUGGAACAUUGAGAAGAAAUAUUUCUCUAGUCUGAAAGUAAAGCAGGAAUUACAAACUCAGUAAUUAAGUUAGGAUUAGGUUUGCUGCAAUAUAAUGUACAUAUAUGCAGAUAUAGUUCAUUACCCUUACACAUAAAAGUGAUCUAAAGAGAGGUAGCCCAAAGCUGUUCAUGUCUACUAUGCCUCUCUGCCUUCCUUAGAUGACACUUCACAGUCCAGAAUGGCUGCUUUUGCUCCAGCCAUCAUGUCCAAAUUCUAGCCUGCAGUGAGGAGAAAGCAACAAAAAAAGGACAUGCUCAUUCUUUUUAAAGAGCACUUCAUAGAGAAUGUUCAUUUCACUUUCAGCUAUCUUUUGUGGCUAGAACAUCAAGUAUGUGGUCACACCCCACUACAGGAGGAGCUUGGAAACGUAGGGUUUAUUUGGGCCCCCAAGUGCUAAACUAAAAUCUGGAAUUGAAACAUAAAUGAAGAAGAGAAUAGGUAUUCAAGUAGGCAUACUCUGCAAUUAUUUCUAGGUCAGUGCUAUGCCCGUGGGAUAAACUUUUCAAGUAGAGGUCCAAUACUGACAAGAGUGAGAGGGACUGAGGCACGUCUCCAAAGCAUUCUAUGAUCCUGGUUCUCAUGACUGGGCCCUGAAACUUUGCACCUCAAUUCCCUUGACUGGAUCUCUGAGCUCCUCUCUGUAUAUGGGUUCCACCACCCAUGUCUCUCCUGGGCUGAGGCCUUGCCUUCCCUGAGUGAGUCCUGCUCUGUUACUCUUGCUUGUCCACCUGUCCCCACAAACUCUAGGAACUAGAACCUGGCCCCAGUCUGGUCUCAAAGCCAGGCAUUGGGUGAGUAAAAAGAACAUCAGUUUGGGGCUACACUGGACCUCAGUUCCAAGCCCAUGUCCAUGACUUUUGAGCCACCUGGCUUUGUGCAAAUUAGCCUUUGUAUACUUCUAUUUCCUCUUUUGUGUAAAAGUGGAAUAUUAAUAGUAUUUACCUCAUAUGGGCUGCAAUGAGUGUUAGCCACCAUUGUUAUUGGUGUAUGUUCGUGGACAGAAGGCCUAUGUCUCUGUCUAGUACAAGGAUAUCCUGGAAAAGAACAUGCCUAACCCUUCUUUGAUUUAAUGAGACCUUCCCAUAUCUCUGGUUCUAAUGGGAUGAAGCUCCCUAACUACCUAGUGCUGGUCUACACCACCACUUUGUCACCUCAGCUCCGUUUUGUGAUGGGACAGGGACCCUUCCCUCCUCUGCAGCACAUCUGUUUCUCUCAAAUAGAUUUGUUUCAAGUCUCAACUCAGGCCAUGAUCUCUGAAGUUGGGCCCCCUCAUGACGUGACAGGAUGAACAAUUUGUACAUAACAGGUGCAAUUUAAAUUCCUGUCUCAUGCAUUAAAGGCAGCUUCCAUUUAGGCUUCUGUGGCCACCUUCUAGAGCCAUCAAACUCUGUAUCUUGAAAAAGUUCACCUUGAAAGCCUUUCUGCCAUUGCCAGUGACAGGGGUACCCUCUCACCAUGCCGGCAGGUUCCUAUAGUGUCUGAGGACCUGAGAUUGACAUUUGUCUCAGCACAUCUUUGGAGCAUAAAGCCAGAGAACUGCCAAAGUAAUGUGACAGCCACCAUUUGAUGAUGCAGAUAAUAGCCACGAGAAGCCAGACAGAAGGAUUUCACUCUAGCAGGGUCUCGCUCUGUGGCCCAGGCUGGAGAGUAUGGUGCAAUCAAGGCUCACUGCCCCAUGUUCAAGCCAUCCUCCCACCUCAGCCUCCCAGAUAGCUGGGACUAGAGACACACAUCACCACGCAUGGCUCUGGGUUACUUCAAUAAGUAUUUUUCAAUAAAUAUUUCUUCAAUAAAUAUUUAAUAACACAAAGCUCAUGAAAAUUUAUCUCUAUUAUUUCUUGGAAUAUUGUGGCCAAUUUUAGAUGGUCCAAAAUUGUGAUCUUUUCAUUUUUAUUAUAUGCUGGUUUAGAAUAGAAAUUUUCUAAUUAAAAAUAGCAUCAUCAUUAAAAUAUUCUUCUUCUAAGUCAAGAUUAUCCAAAGUAUAGCAAAUGCCAAAAUCAUUUCAUGUAGACUCUCUGAUCUCCCCUCAUCGGAUGUGUUCUCUGCUUCUGUGGUUCUGUAGGAAUAAAGAGCACUCUCUCCCUGUUAGCAAAUUUU
rnacentral:lncRNA from 1 species